rnacentral:tRNA from 1 species
GCGCGCGUAGCUCAGUUGGUUAGAGCGCUUGCUCGACACGCAAGAGGUCAGAGGUUCGAAUCCUCUCGCGCGCA